ensembl:lncRNA
GAGACGGUUAGCGAGGGACAUCUGGUGCCGAAACCCAGUAAAUUGACCUCAUCAUCGUCAGUACCAUCGGAGACCCCUUGGCAACAAGGAGGAUUCAGAACUGCAGGGAGGUAGGAUUCGGAGAGAAUGAAGAAAAUCCUUUCUGGGUCCCUGAAAGACUUACCAGGACAGUCAUGGAGCAGAAGGAUGCAGCAGACCAGACACAUGAAAGGGGGAGCAAGCUGCUCCUCCUGAUGUUACUGAUGAUGAUCAAGACCCUAGCUGUCCAGGGGGAACCACGUUGGGGAAGCACAUCAACGUUCCCACUUCUGAUGCUGGACCAUUUGAGCAGUGUGUGUGCUGAUCCUUUUCAGGUAUCACAAGUUUGAGACCUAGGGGAUAAUCAAGAAAGGAAACAUAUGGCUUAAUAGUGAGGAAUUUAUGUGAACUUGCCGGCAGAACUCAGGAGGCUGGCAGAGACUGCCCACGUGGCAGUAGAACUUGGAUGGCUUUUGGCAGAAAGAUUUAUCGUAACAAAAUGGUGUCAGGAGUGUAUAAACUGGACAUGCAGGUCCCACAAGAAAGUGACUGGUAAACUUACUAAACAAGACAAGGGUUCCUGUUAAAUGGAGAAGUGUGCCAGACACACUAUGGCCUAUGGGCUGAAGAUGGAUGCCUCAACGUUACAGAGGAACUUUGGGUGACUGUCCAGGCCUCUUACCAUGGAAACUGCAAAUGACAAAACCCAGAAAAGGAGCUGUGUGGCUGGAGUCAGGCAUGGAAUGGUGACAUUACACUGGUAAACAAAGGUUCUUUGUCAGUCCACCAUCAAGAAAAAUAAAUCACGACCAGGCACAUAUGAAGUUGGACGAAGAACAUGGCAGCAUGCUCCUCAUGGUACUAAAUUUGCAAAAAGGGAAAUCGGGUAAUAGAGUUUGAAUGACAUCGUGAGAUAAAAUGUGUCAGAGCUAAAUUUCCUACAUGGGGAUCCAGAAAGGCUUCUGCAUGAAUACCUAAAGGAGAAGUCCAUCCUGCACUGCAUACCCAGGAUAAAUAGGAUGCCAGAAACAUGAAGUACCUCUCAUGGAAAGAUGCAUGUGUGUAACACAGACAGCUCAAGAAAUUGAUGGCUUAUUCACAGCAAGCACUGAUAGAAGAACAAGACUUUUUAAGCUCUUUGAAGUCAGAAUGAAUGCCUGAAACUACUAGAUGAGAGGCGCAGAUAUGCUGAAUUCAGGGUUUAACUUCAUACAUCGGAUUAGGUCUUUCUCUGUCACCUCUACCCUUGAUUUGUCCCCUUUACUCCAUUUCCUAUCUUUACCCUUUAUGUUAGAAGUAUGAUUUGAUUUAUGAUUGACUAAGUUCUCACAGUUGAAAAACUGCACUGAGUCACCAAAGAAACUUUGGACAACUGCACAGUCUUGUGAAUGGUAAGGAAUAUGGAUAACAAACAUGACAAAAAUUAAGUUUUCACUAUUUGAUAACCUUACUUCUAUGGGAACAAAGGAUUAAAAGUAGCAUGUUUCAUGUUAGUGGAACUGGCCAGUAGUAAUGAUGUUUGUCAAAAGAAUGUGAAUUUGAAUGUUUUGAUUUAGAAAAAAACCAAAAAGAAAAUUUAGGUAAGCUGUUUUCUCUAUACCACUUUAGACCAGAUCACACUGGAAAUGUCUGGACAUUUGUAAAUUUCACAAACAUAAAGGUUUGCCUAGUGUACAACAUAGACUUCCUACUCCAUGAAAUAGGACCCACUGUCUGCAGAGGCAAAAUUAUUAAGUCCAGCUCUGCCAUGGAUACAGAGACUUACCUCAUUACAUAAAGAAUGUGUUUUCUUUUGUUUGUUGAUGUGUCAGCUUCUUUAAAAAAUGCUUUCACCUGGUAUUGGUUUUGGUUUUCUGCAAAAUACAUUUCACAAGUAUUUUUGCCUGUUACUGAUGGUGGGAAAUAUCUGAAUACAUGAUCAUGACCAUUCAGAGUUAAGAUGUAAAAAUAUUUAAAGAAAGGAACACCUUAGACAGAUAGAAGAAUAAGUAAUUUAGACAGACCCAGUGAACCCUGUUGAUGUUUUAAUUAGAAUGAGUUUAUGACUACAUGAGUUUUGUGUAUGAAUAGGAAAUUUCUUCAAGGAACCUUCUGACAGAUGCUGCAAAU